rnacentral:SRP_RNA from 1 species
GGAUUGCUUGAGCCCAGGAGUUCUGGGCUGUCAUGCACUGUGACCAUGAGGUGUCCACACUAAGUUCCACAUCAAUACGGUGACCUCCUGGGAGUGAGGGACCAUCAGGUUGCCUAAGGAGGAGUGAAGCAGCCCAGGUCAGAAAUGGAGCAGGUCAAAACUUUCAUGCUGAUCAGUAGAGGAACUGUACCUGUGAAUAGCCACACUGCAGCCUGGGCAACAUAGCAAGA